AUCCCCACUGAGAUGCUCCCUCAGCACCGAGCCCUCCCUCUGGACAGCUCCCCCAACCAGUUCAGCCUCUACACGUCUCCUUCUCUGCCCAACAUCUCCCUAGGGCUGCAGGCCACGGUCACUGUCACCAACUCACACCUCACUGCCUCCCCGAAGCUGUCGACACAGCAGGAGGCCGAGAGGCAGGCCCUCCAGUCCCUGCGGCAGGGUGGCACGCUGACAGGCAAGUUCAUGAGCACAUCCUCUAUUCCUGGCUGCCUGCUGGGCGUGGCACUGGAGGGCGACGGGAGCCCCCACGGGCAUGCCUCCCUGCUGCAGCAUGUGCUGUUGCUGGAGCAGGCCCGGCAGCAGAGUACCCUCAUUGCUGUGCCACUCCACGGGCAGUCCCCACUAGUGACGGGUGAACGUGUGGCCACCAGCAUGCGGACGGUAGGCAAGCUCCCGCGGCAUCGGCCCCUGAGCCGCACUCAGUCCUCACCGCUGCCGCAGAGUCCCCAGGCCCUGCAGCAGCUGGUCAUGCAACAACAGCACCAGCAGUUCCUGGAGAAGCAGAAGCAGCAGCAGCUACAGCUGGGCAAGAUCCUCACCAAGACAGGGGAGCUGCCCAGGCAGCCCACCACCCACCCUGAGGAGACAGAGGAGGAGCUGACAGAGCAGCAGGAGGUCUUGCUGGGGGAGGGAGCCCUGACCAUGCCCCGGGAGGGCUCCACAGAGAGUGAGAGCACACAGGAAGACCUGGAGGAGGAGGACGAGGAAGAGGAUGGGGAGGAGGAGGAGGAUUGCAUCCAGGUUAAGGACGAGGAGGGCGAGAGUGGUGCUGAGGAGGGGCCCGACUUGGAGGAGCCUGGUGCUGGAUACAAAAAACUGUUCUCAGAUGCCCAGCCGCUGCAGCCUUUGCAGGUGUACCAGGCGCCCCUCAGCCUGGCCACUGUGCCCCACCAGGCCCUGGGCCGUACCCAGUCCUCCCCUGCUGCCCCUGGGGGCAUGAAGAGCCCCCCAGACCAGCCCGUCAAGCACCUCUUCACCACAGGUGUGGUCUACGACACGUUCAUGCUAAAGCACCAGUGCAUGUGCGGGAACACACACGUGCACCCUGAGCAUGCUGGCCGGAUCCAGAGCAUCUGGUCCCGGCUGCAGGAGACAGGCCUGCUUAGCAAGUGCGAGCGGAUCCGAGGUCGCAAAGCCACGCUAGAUGAGAUCCAGACAGUGCACUCUGAAUACCACACCCUGCUCUAUGGGACCAGUCCCCUCAACCGGCAGAAGCUAGACAGCAAGAAGUUGCUCGGCCCCAUCAGCCAGAAGAUGUAUGCUGUGCUGCCUUGUGGGGGCAUCGGGGUGGACAGUGACACCGUGUGGAAUGAGAUGCACUCCUCCAGUGCUGUGCGCAUGGCAGUGGGCUGCCUGCUGGAGCUGGCCUUCAAGGUGGCUGCAGGAGAGCUCAAGAAUGGAUUUGCCAUCAUCCGGCCCCCAGGACACCACGCCGAGGAAUCCACAGCCAUGGGAUUCUGCUUCUUCAACUCUGUAGCCAUCACCGCAAAACUCCUACAGCAGAAGUUGAACGUGGGCAAGGUCCUCAUCGUGGACUGGGUAGGCAGUGAGCUGGUGGGGCUGGGCAGGGGCGGGUAGAGCUAGGACCAGGGUCAGCCUUCAGGAAGUCUCCUCCCCCAGCCCCACCUUCAAGCACCCCAGUCGUCCUCAUCCUCGGGUGCUGGGUGUGGGUGCAGAAAGAAGGGCGCUGGGGCUCCUGCCGGAUGACUAACGUCACAUUCCAACAGGGCUCCCUCCUCAACUAUGAAAGACAUUUAGCUCCUGUUCCAUCUUGGCCCUCACGUUGCAGUUUCAAGCAACGAAGGGGAUUUCCUACCUUGAACGGUAGUGACGCUGCCGCCAUUGCUAGUAGCCGAUAUUUCCUCCCACCCCCUACAAUUAGGAGCAGACUGUAUACCAGGAACCCAAUGAGUACUUUAUGGCCACCUCGAGUAGUAAGAACGAGGAUGUCCAUUUCUGUGAACAAAGGUGUUGUUGCGUGACUUACCCAAGGCCACUGAGCUGGGGAUGUCGGCACUGGGUUUCAGACCAAGGCUUUUGGCCCCAGCACUCUGCUCUUGCUACCAUGGGUGCUUCCCAAACCCUGCUCCUAAUGGUGGAGGCAGAGGCACACGCCACUCUCUGUGAGCUGGGGAAGUAGCCAGGAGCAAGCCUCAGGAAGGACAAAAUCUCUUGGAAGCCCAAUUCUGGCUUAAAAAUUCAUGUAAAUGUUGGAUCCUCCUUCAGAAUCUUAUGUGCUUGUGGUUGGGCACAAUGGCUCAAAGCCUGUAAUCCCAGCAUUUUGGGAGGCCAAGGUGGGUGAAUCACUUGGGGUCAGGAGUUCGAGACCAGGAUGGCCAACAUGGUGAAACCCUGUCUCCACUGAAAAUUCAAAAAAAUUAGCUAGGUGUGGUGGCGGGAGCCUGUAAUCCCACCUAUUGGGGAGGCUGAGGCAGGAGAAUUCCUUGAACCUGGGAAGUGGAGGUUGCAGUGAGUCAAGAUCAUGCCACUGCACUCCAGCCUCGAUGACAGAGUGAGAUUCUGUCUCAAAAAAAAAAAAAAAAAAAAAGAAAAGAAAAG
rnacentral:sRNA from 1 species